UACGUAGGCAGCGAGCGUUGUUCGGAAUUACUGGGCGUAAAGAGUGUGUAGGUGGUGUCGUAAGUUUGGUGUGAAAUCUCCCGGCUUAACUGGGAGGGUGCGCCGAAGACUGCGAUGCUGGAGUAUGGGAGAGGAAAGCGGAAUUCCUGGUGUAGCGGUGAAAUGCGUAGAUAUCAGGAGGAACACCUGCGGUGUAGACGGCUUUCUGGACCAUUACUGACGCUGAGGCGCGAAAGCUAGGGGAGCAAACGGG
rnacentral:rRNA from 1 species